UUUUUAAAAAAGGUUGUCCACUUUUGACGUCCCUAGAUAUUUAUUUUCCCAUCGUCAUUGUAAUCUGGUUUCCAUUCCUACACUCCCCUGAAACUGUUAUCUGUCGCAUGAGUAACUCCAAUAAACACUCCUCAGGUCUCAUUUCAUUUGACUGACUGGUCAACCACUUUAGGUACAUUGAUUACUUCCUCCAUCUGAAACACUCCAUCUUUAGGAAUGCCCACCUUGCUAGAACUACUUCCCUGAAUGCUUCUCGGGAGUACUCUUUGUGGUUUCUCUCCUGUUUCUCUAUUCAUCCUUAAAUAUGGUUACCCCUGAAAGUUUGGUGAAGGGCUCCAAUUCUUUUUAUACUGUUAAGUACAUAAAGGCCAUUGGACUAAAGUGGCUCUAAUGUCUUUGCCCAAAAUCUGUGUCAAUGCCUCAAGGUUAUGAAACCUAAACACUAAGAACAACCAGUCACAAACAGCGCACUAGGUUUUGAGCUAUGGCAAUCAAAUAAUUUCCUUUGUCUCCACACCCCUACAUAAAUCUUUCCCCAGGCUCCUGUAGGAGCUCCUAAACACUUUUGGGUUUGGCCCUGCCCAAUUCCAAGAGACUUUUUCUCAAGAAACUCUUAAAAAUUUUAAUAUGCCUCAGUUAUCUUUUAACAGUCUCUCUCAUUCCCUCCAAGCCUACCUAUACUGCUAAUAAAUGCAUGCCUCAGUUUCCAUCAGGCUCCUGAUGUAUUUAUUAAAGUACUUUUCUACCCUUUAGGCAUUCUGCCUCUAAAUCUGUUUCUGUGAGGGACUUUUAUUAUCUCUCAACUUCCCAAACCAGAAAUCUGCAAUCGUCCCGUCUUUUCCCAUUGUUUCAGUCUUGAGAGUCAAUCAGCUACCAAGCCCAGGCCAUUCUUCUUAAGGCAAUAGUUCUCAAAUCAUUUCAGCGGACACCCAGGCCAUCAUUAUGUCACAACUUCUUAAGGGGUCUUCCAGUUUCUAAUCCGAGUCUGUGUUAAUCUAUGCUGUACGUAAAGUCAGAGUGAUUCUUUGAAAAUUGUAAAGUAGAUCACGCCACUCCUCUGCCUAAAGUGCUUCAGAGUUUCUUGUUUUGAGGUUCAAAGCUCUGAAAAGUCCCUAGCAUUUCUCCCUAGGUUUCGCCCCUGCGCUCCCCUCUUGCAAGCAACCUGCAGCCCUUCUGAAUUUCUCUGAAUUCCUAGAGGGCAUGCUUGCAGCCUCCCCGCUGGUCCCCUCAGGGGAAAUAAACCUCCUCCUUUUCCUGACCGACUCUGCAUUCAGCCCCUUUUAACCUCAACUUUAUGUAUAAUCACAUCCAGGAAGCUUCUAGAAAACUGCUUGACAACCCCCCCUCCAGUUCGAACUAACUCCUCGGUAGGUGUUCCCAGGGCGUCCGGUACUCAUCCAGCAAUUAGAGGACUGUCUUGCAAUUGCCUAUUCCCUCAAGGCCCAGUUGACUGUAAAACCCUGGAGGGCAGAAACCACGUGCUCUUCUUCCCCCUCCCCCCACCCCCCAGGGCCUAAGAGCAGCGUCUGACCCACAAAACAGUAGUUCAAUUCAUAUUUGUUGAACGAGUACCUAUUCACUUCUGUGGCCCGAAGGAGAGCAGAAAAGAGGCGGGCUUAAGGGAGACGGAGUACGGCAAGUCUGUAGGCAACAAGUGCGGGGGAGAGAGUACCUAGGUUCUUCCACCCCUCGGGGCGGGGGCCCGGGCCCACUGCCUAGCGGAAGGCAGGCGCCGCGACCUCCGCAGGGAGCGCGCGACCCCGGCGAGGAGGGACAAUAGCUUGGAAUUCGGCCUCGUGUUUCCGGCGGGGCGGCCUCGCGCUCGGCGGGUGCGGCCCGCGGUGGGGGCUCCGAGCCGGGCCCGCUGCGCUCC
rnacentral:lncRNA from 1 species